GAUGAACGCUGGCGGCGUGCCUAAUACAUGCAAGUCGAGCGAACAGACGAGGAGCUUGCUCCUCUGACGUUAGCGGCGGACGGGUGAGUAACACGUGGAUAACUUACCUAUAAGACUGGGAUAACUUCGGGAAACCGGAGCUAAUACCGGAUAAUAUAUUGAACCGCAUGGUUCAAUAGUGAAAGACGGUUUUGCUGUCACUUAUAGAUGGAUCCGCGCCGCAUUAGCUAGUUGGUAAGGUAACGGCUUACCAAGGCAACGAUGCGUAGCCGACCUGAGAGGGUGAUCGGCCACACUGGAACUGAGACACGGUCCAGACUCCUACGGGAGGCAGCAGUAGGGAAUCUUGCGCAAUGGGCGAAAGCCUGACGGAGCCACGCCGCGUGAGUGAUGAAGGUCUUCGGAUCGUAAAACUCUGUUAUUAGGGAAGAACAAAUGUGUAAGUAACUAUGCACGUCUUGACGGUACCUAAUCAGAAAGCCCCGGCUAACUACGUG
rnacentral:rRNA from 1 species